UGUCCAGGAAAGCAGCAAAGAAGGACGCUCUCUAGACACGAGGAGGAAUGCAUCGAAACGUGUUGAAAUGUUUUUCUAGUGUUUAGGAAUUCUACAGAACCUUUCAUAAUAGCGGAUUACAGUUUCCUAACAUGGAGCUGAAAUGGGUUUUUCUCUUGGGUCUCUUUCUCCCGUCAUGCAGUGGAUGUUCCUAUGGAUAUGUAUUUCAUAAAAGGAAAUGUGUUGAUGAGGAUGAGUGUGCUGUCUUCCCGGUCGUGUGUGGAGAUCACGCUCAGUGUGUGAAUACAGAGGGAAGUUACUACUGCAGAUGUCAUGAAGGAUUCGAAAUGAACUUAACAGGACCGUGUAAAGACAUGGAUGAGUGUAAAGAUGCUCCAGAUAUUUGUGGCACAGACGGCAGCUGCUACAAUCAUCAGGGCGGAUACAGCUGCAAAUGUGACCAGGGUUACAGUAAUUAUGGCCACAACCAGUCAAAAUGUAUCGAAAUGGACUGCAAUCAGUUUGGACCCUUGUCUGUAGACCACAGGCCCAAGAAGUUGAAGCAGUUGAUGUCACUGCUGAAGAAGAGCUGUGAAUCUCUGAAUGAUCCACAUGGAGAACAUUUGACUGGAGAGGAGCUACUGCAGAAUGUGUUCAGUUCCUCUGAUGAGCUGCUGUCUGAAGGAACCAUCGCUGACGGUGAGACACUGAAUCAGUUUCUGGAUGCGGUGGAGAACAGCAUGCGUCUGAUCGGACCUCAGCUGAAAGAGCCAGUGACCAGGAUGGAGACACACAACACCUUUGCUGAGUUUGCAGUCAUGCGGGGUCAGACUCCGCCCAGUGGGCGUGUCACUCUGAGCACAGACUCCGCCCUCUUCAACACCAGCUGGGAAACAGUUGUAGGGGAAUCAUAUCCAGGUUUUGCGUUUGCGGCUCUGGUCAGUUAUAAAGAUCUGAACUCAUCCAGUGAUCUGCUCCACAAGAUGAAAAGAGAGAGAACAGAUGAUGAAGAGACACGCAUCAGUUAUCAACUCAACUCUAAAGUGGUGACAGCCGUCGUCAGUAAUGCAGAAACCAAGCAGCUGUCAGAGCCGGUGAUGCUCGUCUUUACACACGAGGAGGAGAGGGCGGAGUCUGGGGGCGUGGCUUACUUCUGUGUGUACUGGGAUGAUGCUGAGGGGGUGUGGUCUGGGCGGGGCUGUGAGGGGGCGUGGUCUAACAGCACUCAUACAGCCUGCUCCUGCUCUCAUCUCAGUAGUUUCGCUGUGCUCAUGGCUCUCUAUCCUCUCCAGGACACAUUUGAGUUGGUGAUGAUCACUCGUGUGGGUUUAGUUCUGUCUCUGGUCUGUUUGUUUCUCUGUAUCCUGACGUUCAAGUUCUGCCGCUCCAUCCAAGGAACCCGAACCAGCAUUCAUCUCCAUCUGAGCAUCUCUCUCUUCAUCGCAGACCUCGUCUUCCUCUGUGGGAUCUCUAGCACUCACAAUCAGGUAGCGUGUGGGAUUGUGGCCGGUCUGCUUCAUGUCUUCUUCUUGUCUGCGUUCUGCUGGAUGCUGCUGGAGGGGGUUCAGCUCUACCGGAUGGUUGUGAUGGUGUUUAACACCACAUUAAAACACCUCUACAUGUAUCUGGUGGGAUACGGAGCCCCUCUCGUCAUCGUGAUCAUCUCUGCCAUCACCUUCCCAGCGGGAUACGGCACCAAACGACACUGCUGGCUCUCUCUCGAUCGUUAUUUUAUCUUGAGCUUCUUCGCGCCCGUCUGCAUCAUCGUGAUCCUCAAUGGUUUUGUCUUCAUCAUCACCAUCUGGAAACUGGCCAAAAACUUCUCCAGCCUCAAUCCAGACCUCUCCAGUCUCAAGCAGAUCAGGAGCUUUACGGUGGCCGCUGUGGCUCAGUUGUGUAUUCUUGGAGGAACGUGGAUCUUCGGCUUCUUCCUCUUCCAGGAGAAAGGGACUGAAGUCAUGUUGUACCUCUUCAUUAUCCUCAACAGCCUCCAGGGGGCGCUCAUCUUCAUUAUGCACUGUCUGCUGUCCAAACCGGUCAGGACAGAGUAUUACAAUCUGUUUGUCCGAAUGUGUCCACACAAGAAGAAAGCCGAACACAGUACCAGCAGCAGUCAGAAACCUCUACGGAGCGACGGAAGCACAGCAGAGUCACAGAUAUAAAACACUUGUCAUGUGCUGAUGGAUUUUACAAACCUUAGAAGACUUUAACCUUUUUUGUGACAAAUGAAGACUUUUCAGUUCGACAGGGGAUCUGAAAACUGCUGUAAGAAUACUGAUAAGGAAUCAUCAUAUGACGUGUGUUUUACUGGAGUCUGAGCUAUAGGCCUGCCAUGGGAAGAUCUAAAUUAGAUCAUGCCAAUAAAUGAACAAAAUAUUGAAUAUUUUCAGUUUUCUGUUAUGCAUGUAGAAAGUCUUAAUGUUUAGAUUAGUCAAAAGGCAGCUUCUUUAAAAUGAUAUGUUUUAUUAUGUUGAGGAUGAUCUUGUUUUGAUUGUCACAAAACUGUAUAAAGGCUAUACAAACAACCCUCUAGAAAUAAUAGAAGUAUGAGAAAUGAAAGUGAAACAGUAGUUUGGUUUUAAACAGGAAGUCAGGAUUGACUUUAAAAUACAUAAAUGAUAUAGAAAUGCUGUCAUUAUAAUGAUGAUGUAUGGUGUUUGUAUACAAAUAUUGCCUCAAUUUAAUAAAAAAUAAAAAAAAAUCUGUAAUCAUGCUGACAAUCAAACUAAAACAUCUUUACUGAGAAACAGUAAUCUUGAUUUUGAGCUCAAAUAUUUCCAGCUUGUCUUUGUCAUCAUUAAUUUAAACAAGCAGCAGUUACCCUCUCAGUUACUGUUGUCAGAAAACAUGUGGAGAAAGAGCUGGAGUCUCUCACACUGAGCAGGAGCUGACAUGAAUGAGACCUGCAGAAGGGAAAACAAGGAAAAAACCCUGCGGAAACUUCUGGAAAAGGCUAAAUAAACAUUCAAGAGACAGACAGAGAUGGACAGAUACUCUUAUACUCUGAGGGAAAUAAUGCAUAAACAUGAUUACAGAAACAGCGGUUUCCUGAAAUGAACUUAUCUGGAUUAGUACAUUGUUUCACUUUCAUUUGCUGUCAUUAGUUUGUGCUCAUCCGUCGCCCCCCUUCAGGUCUGAGAAGAGAAACGCAUAUAAAGAAAAGACACAAACCCAUAUUUUAACAACGAGUAGUCCAUUAACAAUCAGGUAAAUGUGUAUGUGCACUUCUGUUUUUGGACGACAAGCGUAACCUCUACAAGGGGAUGUGGGUAAAGAUGUGCAGUGGUUUCCACAUCCUGUGGAUCAUAAAAAAA